rnacentral:tRNA from 1 species
GGGAAGGUGGCUCAGUGGUAGAGUGCUUGCCUAGCAUGCAGGAAGCCCCAGGUUCAAUUCCUCAGUACCA